GGACGGCCCAGGUCACCAUCAGAGGAGAUCACUCUCAGAUCCAGCCCCACCUCUUGUCCUGCGCGAUGUGACUUCUCAAUUACCUGAUAGGAAAAAAGAGGGAAGAUGGUAUCCAGCACUUGACUUCCAUCUAGAGCUGUGACCAUGAUGCUCUGGUCAGUGAGUCGAGACAGUACAGAACGAAGGGCCCAGGAACACGAGACACAGCAUGGUGAAUGUGUUUGACUGAUGACUACGGAUCUCAAGCAAUGCACCCUGUGGGAAAAGAGCAGCAUGUGAGACCUUCUCCUCAAAGAAAAGGAUUUCAGCUCACACCACCCUUCUGCAACAACAUAUCAGUUCUGCAGUGCAAUGCAUUAAAUAGCUGCUAUGUGGUACCCAGUCACAAAGCAGCCCAUGGAACUAACUGUCUCACUACCAGCCUCUCUGGUCAUCCCUCCUUUC